GUGAGAUGGACCCCCACCUCAAAUAUGAAUUAAAAAGGGCAUGAUUAAAAUUGAUGCCGCUAGAUGUCCUCAACAUCAACUGUAACUCACGCGGGUGCAACCGGAAGCCAGGUUCAGUACCGCAUUUGCGCUCGAUGUGGAGGUUUGUGUUUUUGGACAGUGCUGAUGUUAUUUGGAGAAGACACGAAAGAAAAGACCUAGGACUCAAGGGGGACCCCUCAACAUGACAGGAUCCCCAUAUAAGAAUGAGCUCCAGACAGAAGUUCAGAAGAAAAAAGAAAAAGAGGUCAGUCUAGCAAAGAAGCAAAAAAUAGGACCCAAAAAUAAAACAGCAAUCAUAUCAAAGCAACUACAACGUGAAAAAAGGAAAAUAAAACCAAAAACUCAACAAGCAAAAGCUGGACCAUCCUGGCUUCAUGAAAGCAGUAGCGAGAGUGAAGAGGGAGAUGGAACUGUCUGCCUGUACUGCAGUGACAAGUUUGGAAAUUCUAAGAGAGGUGAAGGGUGGGUUUGCUGUGACAAUUGUAAACGAUGGGCACACGAGCAAUGUGCAGGGAUACUGGAUGAUGAGGAUGAUAUUGAGUGUUUUAUUUGUGAUCUAUGCAAGGAAUGAUCAGGCAAUUUGGCAUAAUAUAGCACUAUAAAGUAUCCCUGUAGAUGUAAAAUGGGCACAGAAGCAAAUGUAUGAUGGUAAAGGAUGCUGAAAGAAGGGUUUUCUUUGUCAUUUAUUCCAGGAAGAUUUUUUUUUUUUUUUUUUUUUUUUUUUUGUCAAGGACUAUGAUGAACCCUUAGAAAGUACCCGAAAAAAAUGACGG